rnacentral:lncRNA from 1 species
AUUUACCCCCCCUCUAGGUGUUAGUUGGGUCGAACGAUAGGUUUUUCAAUUGUAAAUGUUGAAGUAGAUGUUUAGUAGAUACCAUACUGCAAACAUUGAUCCAAGCUGCAAAGUCUUGAACACGCCAUUGCUAUUUCCAGCAUCACUUACACUUUCAGGAACUGCGGCCGAUGACUUAACCUUGAACUCGAAUGAUGUUUGAGUCUCAGACAACAAUGUCGAGUAUUUUUUAUUAAAAUUCGAAGUAGAAUAUAGAGAGAGAACAUUAUGGGACGAUUUGAUGAAUGAUUUUGUAGAGUUCCCACACAAAACUGCUCUAUAUUUGUCGCUGAAUCUGUAGCUGAUUUUCCUAAAUGGAAUUUUUGUAGACUUGUUGAAUGAUUUGAAAGGAGAUAGAGCCAUUGCACAGUUCUCCAUUUUUCCUCCUCUUCCCGAUUUUUGUGAAGAAAAUUAAUUGAUCUAACUUAUAAAAUUCAUGUUUGUACUUGUUUAAAUUGACGGUUGGCAUUGUUCCAUGGGUCAGAAUAAUUUGGUAGAAUUGUG